UGUCAAGUCGGGUCUUAACUUUAAUUUAUCAGAAAAAAGAAAUUAAUCCAGGUAAAAGAACUCUCCAAUGGAAUUAUGUGAGCAUUGGGCUUAUUCUUAGAUCUGCAAGGAAAGGCCCAACUGCUGAACAACUUGCUAGUAAAACCGAGGAAGCUUUGUCCCAUAUCGAAGAAUUGUAAAUUUAAUGAGUUCUUUAUAUACGUGCGCUUAAGAGCAUAGCUUGUCCCUUCGGGGACAUCCGAUAAAAUUGGAACGAUACAGAGAAGAUUAGCAUGGCCCCUGCGCAAGGAUGACACGCAUAAAUCGAGAAAUGGUCCAAAUUUUUUUGCUCUUUUCUGCCAAAUUUUUUUGCCCUCUCCACGGUGUUUCCCACAAUCCCAAGGGCCAAAGCCGUAGUUCAGUGCAGUUACAGUGGCUUUAGAGGCUAUACGAACUAUGAGCAUUUUGCAUUUGAAGCCUUCGAUGGUUCGGUGGCUUAGUCUUUGAUUUUCCAGGCCCCUUGAGCUCUCAAGCUUGCACUCAUGAAUCUUUUGAAAGUCCAUACUGUCUGUUACUUCGAAAACCAUGAAGCUGAUGGAUUGUUCGAAGUAAUUUUUGGAGUUGCUUCAGUUUGGGAACUAGAAGGUAGUGAAAGCCAUACCACUUUUUUUUUUUACAAGUAAUCAACUCAAAACUAAAGCCUUUACCACUUUGACAUAUAGUUGGCCUUUUGUAUCUAAAGUCUGCUUGCUUGAGGCAUGUUGGCACUUCACAUAUUUUCCUUAACAAUAUCGCGAUUCAACGUA